CAGGCACAUGAAGGUUCCCAAGCUAGGGGUCCAAUCGGAACUGCAGCCACUGGCCUACACCACAGCCACAGCAACGUGGGAUCUGAGCCAGGUCUGCAGCCUGCACCGCAGCUCAAGACAAGCCAGAUGCUUCACCCACUGAGCGCGGCCAGGGAUGGAACCUGCUUCCUCAUGGAUACUAGUUGGGUUCGUUACCGCUAAGCCUCAGUGGGAACUCCCUGGAUCUUCUCUAACACUGAACAAAUUUUGUAACAAUAUGGUGAACAAGUUUUUUAACAAUCUGCGGACAGAGCGAACCAUGCACAGUGAGCCACAUGCCAUAUAACCCACCGACACACAGCCACUAACUAGCACGAGUAAGCAGUUAGUGAGGGAACGUUAUUAGUGAAACAUGAAAAAUGUGUUGGGGACCCAUGCGAUCCAGCUUACUUGACUGGGAGCUAGUCGUAUGGAUCUCAUCCAUAUAAAGACUCUUCAGGAUAGAAGAACCAUCUAGACGGCAAGAAGCAGCUCAAGCAGGGUUUUGCUAUUGAUUUCUAAUGCUCACUGGCUCAACAUCUCAGCCCUAUGUGCAGCCACAAACAAACACUCUGCACUGUAGCUACCCUGGAUUACAUGCAGCUACCAGAACACUUGCAUUCUUUUGUUCCUGCUGUUGCAUCUUCUUGAAAUGUUCUCUAUUCUUGAUAAAGAAAAUCUUAUUUACUCUUUAAAGCUUAGUUGAAACAUUACUCCACUGUAAAACCCAAGGCAGAUUUAAGCAUAAAAUCAGCACAUCUGUUGAGUACCUGCUCUGUGCCAGACAGUAAACACUAUCUCAGCAAAUGAGAUAAAAGCCUCUCUGCCUUCACGGAGCUUACACUCUGCUCUCCCACAGCGCUCAGCUCCUGUGAGACAGUUCUUAGCAUGUUCACACUUAUAAUUAUUAGAGAAAUUGGGCAGUGUUUACUUCCCCCGCCGGACUGGGCUUCUUAAAAAGAUGAAUGUGUCUCCCCAUAAAACCAUCUUCUCCAGCAGUUCAGAGGUUUCACUCCCUGCAAUUUCGGAGUUUGUGAAUUGUACAUGCAGGAGGCAUUCAGCAUGUGCUACCCCAAGAGGGGAGCCACCCUGUUAUAAAAGACCCCAUAACUAGCAAGGCUUAAACUUUCUGUGGGAAAGUAACAAACUACAGGAAAUUUUAAAAGUAAUUUAGAAGUCAAAACUAUUCAUCACAAUUCCCCAGAACUCAGUGCUACAUUCCGCUUCCCCUAAAAAAGUGACAAAAACACUGAAACAUUAAUCAAUCCAGAUACCUGCUAAUCACUCCUACAGUUAAUUUGAGCAACAGAGAAAAGAAUCAGUAUUCUCAAAUUAACCCUGCAGAGACAUAUUAGCAUAGAAACACAACACAAAUUCGUGUUGACAUCUGGAGUUCUGCACAGUAACUACACCCAAAACCCAAGUAGAUGGGUCAUGUCCUCUUAAAGCAACUUCAAAAUCACUUCUUAUUGGUAUCAAAUCACAAAAGAUUCCUAUCAUAGGAUUCUCCUAAGUCGCCAUGUCUAAGGUCCACACUCUGGGCUAGCAAAGAAAAUGGUUAAUUUUGUCAGGAUGGGAAGUGAGAGGCAGAGUUUAGACACACGCCACGCUGCUGUGGCAAUGAGCUCCCCAGAGUGUCUUGCAGGGGUCUAUGAUUCUCCCUGGAUCCUCCUCUGUGUUUGGAGAGUUCUCUGAAGGUGACAAGACCCAAAACAUGUUGCUUUAGUGCCCUGGACAAUGACUUGCACCUGCGAGGGGUGCAGUGAUGGUUUUCUCAUGAUUUGAAUAUGUACCAUAUAUUAUCAUAUGACAUGGAAUAUGUACACUCCGCACUUGAGAUUAUCCAAUGCCAACACUGCCACUUGGCUAAUGUUUGACUUUUACAUCACCUGCAUCCUGUUUAUAACCCUGCCCCCCACACAGGAUAGCUCAAAGUGAAUACUGGAAUCGCCCAGGGCCACAAAAAUACCCAAGUUAUUUAUGCAAAGAUAUUGACUGAAUAUACUACAUCAUCCUCAAAGACAAUCAUUCCAAGCAGAAAUCGGCUCAUCGUAGGGAGCGAUAAUCAUUCAUAAUAGAUGUCAUUUAAUCACUCAUUUAUAAACUGGUUUUUGCGAGUUGAUCGUGUAGAAAGAUGAAGAGUCAUCACUAGGAAUGUACGUAAGGCACUGUCCCUGUCCCCACGAGCCUAGUCUGAAGGAGGAGAAAAGAUGGACCUCACUGGAGUAUCCGCUCCUCUUGUUGGCCGGAGCUGUGUAGGGGUUGCGGACUUGCAGGUACCCACAAGGCACCAUCCACAUGUGUGACUCCGCGUCAGGAGGUCGUGUCAGAAACGACUCACGCACUUCACACAGUCGCAAAGUGUCACCGCUUGAAGUGUGCGCAGAAAUCACCUCCUUCCUCUCCUUUUUCACAUACCGAAUAAGAAAUGCCAUAACCGGUGACCGCAUGGUUCCAAAUCACACAUGACAAAGCCACAAAUCACAAGUGUCGGCCCCUGCGCUUUUCCUACCAACACCACACCGAGAUAUCUUUAGGAGAAAUACGGUAUUACCCACGUGUACACAGAAAAUAUAUUCACGAGCUGCUGCUAAUAUUAACAUGCCCAAUGCUGCACACUCUUGCCUUUCAAUUGACUUUUAGCAAUUCCAUCUCAGCUAUAGUCUAGUGACCCCCACGACGAAACGCACGUCUCUUUAUACAUAUUUUAUAAUUUGUUUUAAGUUGUACUUUACAAGGUGUCUAAGUUUUUCUCUGGUAUCCUGAUUUUAGUUAAUAGCAGAAAACAACAACAAGAGCAGAAAUAUGAAAUAACAGUCCUUGAUCUAGUCCUGUUUAGUGUUCCAAAGGAAAAAAAAAAUGCAUCUGGGCUGCAGGCACAUGAAAACAUGUCAAUCAGAUGUAAUUGCUCUCCAAGAGAAAUGCUUUUUAGGGAAGUAAAAAAGAACGCAUCCUCAACACAGAGCUUUGUAGCGGCAGCUCAUCUGCUAAUGACAAGCUCGUUUGUUCUCCAACCCGUUCACGAUUCCACAUCGGAAUCGUGACAGAAAAGGACAACCUGACCAGGUCUUCGCUCUUAAACAAUGAGAAAAAUGGUUAUGUGUAGGCAUUUAGAGCUGCUGUAUUUAUAUAAUAUAUAGAAAGACGAUACAUUCUAUAUCCAUGCAUGCGUGGAGUUCAUUACAUCAUCAGCAGUUGCUGAGAAUCAAAGUAACUCUUAACUGCUUACACCAGGGCGGACAAAUAUCAGAACUAUAACACACUCAAAAAAAAUAAUAAGGCUUCUGCUUUUGUUCACAAUAACUCUUAAGGACAUGCAAUAGGCCCAAUUCUGCCUGAAGGCAGUAAGGCGCACAUCCCAGGGGGCAGGCAGUAUUUGAAGGCUGUAUUUGACUGGAUGCACACAGACACCUUUAAAACUCCUUCAAUAUUUUGUCCAUUAUUGUAGAGUCUACUUAAAUGGAAAUCUAAUAAUCCCUGCCACGAAGGACAACUGCUAACUCCAAAAAGAAGGCUGUGGCCUCUAUUUUCUAAAACUGAGAUGUCAUAUAUUUUUCAGCACUAGCGGUGAGGGAUUCACGAACUAAAAGCCAUAAAGUUUUAAAAAAAUAAAACAAAUGAAAAUAACAACAACAAAUCCCAUAGUAAGUAAGCCCCGGCCAGGAAUUCCUUUGUAAAGCCCAUGUAAAUUCACUAAAAUUGGAUGCCACCCAUUAAGCCACGGGCAUUCUCUGGAUGCCACAUUCAGGAAAGCGCAUCAAUGACUUUUGUAUAAAACUCAUUUUAAGUUUCAGAAUAAUUGCCUUUCAGGUUUAACUAUGCUAUGCAAACGGAAACCCCACAAAACUGAGGAGGGCAGACAGGCUUUUAGGGUGGGAGGUGUCUCGCACUACCCACCCACCGCGUGCCUGGGUCCCUAGGAGAAGGCGCUCGAGGCUGAUCCCUUGUGGUCCAUGCUCCCUCCCCGCAAGCUCGUCCCAAGGGUGCGGCUCUUCACACCGUCCAGGCCCUGGGGCAUGGCUGGGCCACAGCUCAUGGGUGGUCAUGGCCGUGGUGUGAUGUCAAGACAGAGCCGGGUCCACCCUCCCUGCCUCUCCCUGCACACAGGCAAUGGGAUGUCUCGGCCUGUGACCCAGCACAGCCUCCACGAGGCAGAGCAGCCGCUUUGCCCACGUGGACGCCUGCGCAGAGUUUUCAGCAGCUGUGGCGACGCUGCGAUGCACGGUCCAGAUGCUCCCUCACGGGAGCACUUGCUACAGCAGCUUCUGGGGUCCUUGCCAGCCCCUUUGGGGACGGCCUUCAUCAGAACAGGCCACCACCCCCUCCCCAAGGUCACGCAUCUUCCCAGGAUGGCCAACAUCAAAUACCUUAUGAACAGAGUAGUAUGAAAGCCUGGCCAUCUCAGCCCACCUUGGGAAAACUCUGGAGGUUCCUUCUAGUUCUAGAACUCCGAAGACGUCAGCCUAGACCGUUCAUGCACCUGCAUCAAUGCUCAACUUCUCCCUCUCUCCACACCUGCUUCCUCACUUUCCCUUCCACAGGAGGAUCCAUGGGAGCUCAGUAGUAAACACUCUGCACAUUAAAUUCUGACUCAGAGGCUGCUUCCUGGGAAACUCAACCUGGGAGAGUAGGGUUCUGGUCACCCUCCGUCAUUAACAUCUGGGAGUCUAUAAAGGGGGAUCCCCUGCUGAGGUUUCUAGGUCUAAGACCCCUACUGCACCCUCAUUCACCAGGAAAGUCCUGCAGGCGGAUGCAAUGAGCACAUACUAACUAUCAAUCCAAACUGUAUUUCAUGUUCCUUUUGGAUACUCCAUCAUGUCAUAAUCCACAUGUCAAUGGAGAAGAUUAGGAGUGGGCAAUGCAAUUUAAGCAUCUACUGACAAGGGAUUAAUUUCCCAAAUAUACAAACAGCUCAUACAGCUUAAUAUCAAAAAAAAAAAAAACCAAACAGCCCAAGCAAAAAAUGGACAGAAGACCUAAGUAGACAUUUGUCUAAAGAAGACAUUCAGAUGGCCAACAGGCACGUGAAAAGAUGCUCAAUAUCACUGUUACAGAGAAAUGCAAAUUAACAGCCAUCAUCAAAAAGUCUACAAAAAAAUACAGAGUUCCUGUAGUGGUGCAGCAGAAACCAAUGUGACUAGUAUCCAUGAGGAUGCAGGUUUGAUCCCUGGCCUCACUCAGCGGGUUAGGGAUCCGGCAUUGCCAUGAGAUGUGGUAUAGGUUGCAGACACAGCUCAAAUCCCACACUGCUGUGGCUGUGGUGUAGGCCAGCAGCAAUAGCUCCAAUUCAACCCCUAGCCUGGGAACUUCCAUAUGCCAUGGGU
rnacentral:lncRNA from 1 species